UGGAUCUUACUUUACUUGGAUAACUGUGGUAAUUCUAGAGCUAAUACAUGCAACUCAGCUCUGACCUUACGGAAAGAGCGCAUUUAUUAUACCAAAACCAAUCAGGCUUUGCCUGCUGUUUGGUGACUCUGAAUAACUAUGCUGAUCACAUGGUCCUAGUACCAGUGACAUAUCUUUCAAGUGUCUGCCCUAUCAACUUUCGAUGGUAGUUUAUGUGCCUACCAUGGUUGUAACGGGUAACGGAGAAUAAGGGUUCGACUCCGGAGAGGGAGCCUGAGAAAUGGCUACCACAUCCAAGGAAGGCAGCAGGCGCGCAAAUUACCCACUCUCAGAUCGAGGAGGUAGUGACGAAAAAUAACGAGAUGGUUCUCUUUGAGGCCCAUCAUCGGAAUGGGUACAAUUUAAACUCCUUAACGAGGAUCUAUUGGAGGGCAAGUCUGGUGCCAGCAGCCGCGGUAAUUCCAGCUCCAAUAGCAUAUGCCAAUUCUGCUGCUGUUAAAACGCUCGUAGUUGGGUCUUUUCCAAGGAUUCAGUCUGUCUCAAUGACAUGUACUGUAUUCUGAGGAUAAUUCAGUUGGUUUUCUCAUGGUGCUCUUAACUGAGUGCCUUGGGUGACCAGCAAGUUUACUUUGAAAAAAUUAGAGUGCUCAAAACAGGCGAUUCUGCCCGAAUAGUGGUGCAUGGAAUAAUGGAAUAGGAUCUCGGUUCUAUUUUGUUGGUUUUAGGAGUGCGAGAUAAUGAUUAAGAGAGACAGACGGGGGCAUUCAUAUUGCGGCGUUAGAGGUGAAAUUCUUGGAUCGCCGCAAGAUGAACAACUGCGAAAGCAUUUGCCAAGAAUGUUUUCAUUAAUCAAGAACGAAAGUUAGAGGUUCGAAGGCGAUCAGAUACCGCCCUAGUUCUAACCGUAAACAAUGCCAAUUAGCGAUCUGCUGGUGUUAAUCAUGACCCAGCAGGCAGCUUCCCGGAAACGAAAAUCUUUCGGUUCAGGGGGAAGUAUGGUUGCAAAGCUGAAACUUAAAGGAAUUGACGGAAGGGCACCACC
rnacentral:rRNA from 1 species